rnacentral:rRNA from 1 species
UGGGGAAUAUUGGGCAAUGGGCGAAAGCCUGACCCAGCAACGCCGCGUGAGGGAAGAAGGUCUUCGGAUUGUAAACCUUUGUCCUAUGGGACGAAACAAAUGACGGUACCAUAGGAGGAAGCUCCGGCUAACUACGUGUCAGCAGCCGCGGUAAUACGUAGGGAGCAAGCGUUGUCCGGAAUUACUGGGCGUAAAGGGUGCGUAGGUGGCCAUGUAAGUUAGGUGUGAAAGACCGGGGCUUAACCCCGGGGGCGGCACUUAAAACUGUGUGGCUUGAGUACAGGAGAGGGAAGUGGAAUUCCUAGUGUAGCGGUGAAAUGCGUAGAUAUUAGGAGGAACACCAGUGGCGAAGGCGACUUUCUGGACUGUAACUGACACUGAGGCACGAAAGCGUGGGGAGCAAACAGGAUUAGAUACCC